rnacentral:siRNA from 1 species
CUCAAGUACAAAGCGGUGGCCA